rnacentral:snoRNA from 1 species
UUGUCAGGUGAAAUAAUGCUUACCUGUUCCUCCUUUUGGAGGGCAGAUUAGAACAUGAUGACUAGAGUUUGCAUGAUACAUAAUUAACAUCUCUGUGUAAUCAGGACCUGCAACACUCUGAUUGCUCCUAGGGGCU